rnacentral:ncRNA from 1 species
CUCAGAAAAAGGCAAACUAAUUGAAAGAUUAGGACGCAAAGAUGCAGAUCUAACGCAUGAAAAUGCUAGGAUGGCUGGUCUACCUGA